AUUGAACGCUGGCGGCAUGCCUUACACAUGCAAGUCGAACGGUAACGGGCCUUCGGGUGCCGACGAGUGGCGAACGGGUGCGUAAUACAUCGGAACGUGCCCGAUCGUGGGGGAUAACGAGGCGAAAGCUUUGCUAAUACCGCAUACGAUCUACGGAUUAAAGCAGGGGACCGCAAGGCCUUGCGCGGACGGAGCGGCCGAUGGCAGAUUAGGUAGUUGGUGGGAUAAAAGCUUACCAAGCCGACGAUCUGUAGCUGGUCUGAGAGGAUGAUCAGCCACACUGGAACUGAGACACGGCCCAGACUCCUACGGGAGGCAGCAGUGGGGAAUUUUGGACAAUGGGCGCAAGCCUGAUCCAGCCAUGCCGCGUGCAGGAUGAAGGCCUUCGGGUUGUAAACUGCUUUUGUACGGAAAGAAAAGCCUUCUUUUAAUACAGGAGGGUCAUGACGGUACCGUAAGAAUAAGCACCGGCUAACUACGUG
rnacentral:rRNA from 1 species